rnacentral:rRNA from 1 species
UACGGAGGGAGCUAGCGUUGUUCGGAAUUACUGGGCGUAAAGCGCGCGUAGGCGGCUUUGUAAGUUAGGGGUGAAAUCCCGGAGCUCAACUCCGGAACUGCCUCUAAGACUGCAUCGCUUGAAUCCGGGAGAGGUGAGUGGAAUUCCGAGUGUAGAGGUGAAAUGCGUAGAUAUCCGGAGGAAUACCAAAGGCGAAGGCAGUGUCCUGGCUGGUAACUGACGCUCAGGUGCGAAAGCUAGGGGAGCGAACAGG